rnacentral:misc_RNA from 1 species
UGCUUGAUCGCUCGUGAUCA